CCUACGGGAGGCAGCAGUGAGGAAUAUUGGUCAAUGGGCGGAAGCCUGAACCAGCCAAGUCGCGUGAGGGAAUAAGGCCCUACGGGUCGUAAACCUCUUUGGCCGGGGAGCAAGGGCGGGGACGUGUCCCGGCCCGGCGAGUACCCGGAGAAAAAGCAUCGGCUAACUCCGUGCCAGCAGCCGCGGUAAUACGGAGGAUGCGAGCGUUAUCCGGAUUUGAUGGGUUUAAAGGGAGCGUAGGUGGAUUGUUAAGUCAGGUGUGAAAGUUUGCGGCUCAACCGUAGAAUUGCAGUUGAAACUGGCAGUCUUGAGUACAGGAGAGGUGGGCGGAAUUCGUGGUGUAGCGGUGAAAUGCUUAGAUAUCACGAAGAACUCCGAUUGCGAAGGCAGCUCACUGGACUGCAACUGACACUGAGGCUCGAAAGUGUGGGUAGCAAACAGGAUUAGAUACCCGAGUAGUC
rnacentral:rRNA from 1 species